GAAGUCUUUCACCUCCUCUCUCGGUUAUUGCUUCCUCACCGCCAUUGUUGGCUAGGGUUUCAAUCUUCAAUACUCUUUUGCAAAAUACACUACAAUCAACCGAAAUUAGAUAUGGAUCCAAAAAGAAGUAGUUGUUCUUUCUUGAAGUUAGUCGAUGUUCAUAAUCCUACAAAAGUGCUCAUGGCGGACAAAUUCUGGGGACAGUUUUAUGGCAGCAGUUAUAAAGGUGGAUCAGCAACUCUUUAUCUCGGUGAUAGGUUUUGGAAUGUGAAGAUGGAGGCGUUGUCCGACAAAUGUGCUUUCACUGAUGGAUGGUCUAAUUUGAUUAGGGAUCUU
rnacentral:lncRNA from 1 species